UUCUUAUCUAGAGAGGUGGAGGGACUGGCCCUUUGAAGCCUCAGCAACCACAAUUAUUGAAUGGUGCUAAUUCCAGCAUAGCCUAGCUCUGACAGAUAAGAA
rnacentral:ncRNA from 3 species